GAAUAUUGGACAAUGGGCGCAAGCCUGCUCCAGCCAUGCCGCGUGUGUGCAGACGGUCUUCGGAUUGUCAAGCACUCUAAGUUGGGAGGAACGGCAGUAAGCGAAUACCUUGCUGUUUUGACGUUAUCUACAGCAUAACAACCGGCUAACCAUGGUCCAGCAGCCGCGGUAAUACAGAGGGUGCAAGCGUUAAUCGGAAUUACUGGGCGUAAAGCGCGCGUAGGUGGUUCGUUAAGUUGGAUGUGAAAUCCCCGGGCUCAACCUGGGAACUGCAUCCAAAACUGGCGAGCUAGAGUAGGGCAGAGGGUGGUGGAAUUUCCUGUGUAGCGGUGAAAUGCGUAGAUAUAGGAAGGAACACGAGUGGCGAAGGCGACCACCUGGGCUCAUACUGACACUGAGGUGCGAAAGCGUGGGGAGCAAACAG
rnacentral:rRNA from 1 species